AGCGAACGGGGAGCAGCCCAGAGCCUGAAUCAGUGUGUGUGUUAGUGGAAGCGUCUGGAAAGGCGCGCGAUACAGGGUGACAGCCCCGUACACAAAAAUGCACAUACUGUGAGCUCGAUGAGUAGGGCGGGACACGUGGUAUCCUGUCUGAAUAUGGGGGGACCAUCCUCCAAGGCUAAAUACUCCUGACUGACCGAUAGUGAACCAGUACCGUGAGGGAAAGGCGAAAAGAACCCCGGCGAGGGGAGUGAAAAAGAACCUGAAACCGUGUACGUACAAGCAGUGGGAGCCUCUUUUAUGGGGUGACUGCGUACCUUUUGUAUAAUGGGUCAGCGACUUAUAUUCUGUAGCAAGGUUAACCGAAUAGGGGAGCCGAAGGGAAACCGAGUCUUAACCGGGCGUUAAGUUGCAGGGUAUAGACCCGAAACCCGGUGAUCUAGCCAUGGGCAGGUUGAAGGUUGGGUAACACUAACUGGAGGACCGAACCGACUAAUGUUGAAAAAUUAGCGGAUGACUUGUGGCUGGGGGUGAAAGGCCAAUCAAACCGGGAGAUAGCUGGUUCUCCCCGAAAGCUAUUUAGGUAGCGCCUCGUGAAUUCAUCUCCGGGGGUAGAGCACUGUUUCGGCAAGGGGGUCAUCCCGACUUACCAACCCGAUGCAAACUGCGAAUACCGGAGAAUGUUAUCACGGGAGACACACGGCGGGUGCUAACGUCCGUCGUGAAGAGGGAAACAACCCAGACCGCCAGCUAAGGUCCCAAAGUCAUGGUUAAGUGGGAAACGAUGUGGGAAGGCCCAGACAGCCAGGAUGUUGGCUUAGAAGCAGCCAUCAUUUAAAGAAAGCGUAAUAGCUCACUGGUCGAGUCGGCCUGCGCGGAAGAUGUAACGGGGCUAAACCAUGCACCGAAGCUGCGGCAGCGACACUGUGUGUUGUUGGGUAGGGGAGCGU
rnacentral:rRNA from 1 species